UACGUAGGGGGCUAGCGUUGUCCGGAAUUAUUGGGCGUAAAGAGCUCGUAGGCGGUUUGUCGCGUCUGCCGUGAAAGUCCGGGGCUCAACUCCGGAUCUGCGGUGGGUACGGGCAGACUAGAGGUAGGUAGGGGAGAUCGGAAUUCCUGGUGUAGCGGUGAAAUGCGCAGAUAUCAGGAGGAACACCGGUGGCGAAGGCGGAUCUCUGGGCCUUACCUGACGCUCAGGUGCGAAAGCUAGGGGAGCAAACAGG
rnacentral:rRNA from 1 species